UGUGCCAGGGCAGGGUCAGGUUGGAUGCUAGGAAAGAACUCUUCUCAGACAGAGCAGUGAGGCACUGCACGGUCGCACAGGGAGGUGGGGGAUCACCGUCCCUGGAGGUGUUCAGAGCCGUGGGGAUGUGGCACUGAGGGAUGUGGGCAGUGGGCACGGUGGGGUGGGCUGGGGAUCUGAGGGGUCUUUUCCAACCUUAACGAUUCUGUGAUCUCCCCUGCACCUCUUCCCCACAGGCUGUAAGGAAGAAAGAACAAGGGAAGGGGAAACAUAAAGAAACAUCUUAAGAGGGGAAAGGAAAAGUACAGCAGCAAGGAACUGUGCAGGAGAGCAGCAGGAGGGCGGGCUGCGGCUGCAUCUGCCGGCUGCCUGCCACGUGGCUGCAGGGAAGUCGUGGCCUUUCUCCACCUCACUUUUCCAGUCUGUGGAAUUAUUUAGAUAACAGUAUUUGCAAACUAAAGAACAAAAGUACUAUAUAUAAAACAAGCCUACUUAAGCCCAAGUGGCUUCUGUUUGCUGUAUUUAGAAAAGGGCCCGGUUCUCUCUGUGUCUUUCAUAAACAAAACACAGCCAAUCAUCUCUAGCCAAAAUUAAAGACUUGUUUUCUCUGACAACAGCUCUAACAUGUCUAAAGCCCCACAGCGACCCUAAGGUGUAAAGUAACCUGUCAGUCCUUGUAGUGUUACACCACUGAAGGGCACAGCAAAGGAGAUAACAGCCUUCAGAUACUACGGAGAGCCCAGAAUUGCCCCAUAGCAACAAGCAGGUGGUGAGCAAGCCUGAGUAGCUGGGACUGCUGCCACAUCUGUUAGAAAAUGACCUCAUGGGCUGACAUCACCUGAGAUUUCCAGGCCAGCCUUGGUCCCUUUGAGAUGUGGGGACAGCUUUGUAUGGCCUGCCAGCACCCUGGGAUUGCUGACAUGGGUGGACACAGCAAGCAGAAGUAAACCCACCUCUCCUGACCACCCUCCCCCCAUGCUGCACCGAGCCCAGGAGCUGCCGCACCUUUGCCAGCUCACUCAGCUCCACAUAUAGCCCUACAGAGGUGGCAAUGUCCAGCUGUGCACAUCUGUGCCUUGGCACAGGGAGGACACGCACAGCCUCCUCUUCCUAAGACAGGCUGGGAAUUCCUUGGAACUGCUGGGGCACUGAUCCAGCCAAGACCAGCACCGUUUGCACUGACACAGCCUCCAAAAAGCUGCAAAUACACCUUGCUUUGCUGGAGUGACAGGCUGGGGAAGGGAGCAGGAAAUAAGGGGAAUGCCCGAAGGCAGACAGAAGUGAGUACGUGCUUAAUCAGCUUAGACUAAAUAAAUCAAUAGGCUCUAAAACUGAGGGGUCCCCAUGCAGAAGACAAACCUGCUGGAAGGACUGAAUGUGUAACCGGCACACGAGCAGCUCUCUGUAAGGUAUAAUGUGAACCAACCUGAAGCAGCCCCAGACAGAUGCACCAUCUGCUCACAGCGCCUCACAAGGACGCUGUGCUCGGUGCUAUCAAAACCAGCAGACACUCCAAGGAGCACUAAUGCAGAGCACAGCCCCGGGGCGGCCGGCAGGCAGAGCUCAGCAGCCCUUCUAAAGGGCCGCGACAGAACGGUGCCUUCUGCUUGAUCCAGCCUGGAAUUCACCAACGACACCGUAUACACAGAGGUGCGAGUGCUGCAGGAACGCAACGGCUCCCGGCGGAUGGAAGGAAUGGCAGGAUGGACGCUAGACAGCAGCUGACACAUUGUUCAACAGAUGAGAUGGCUGCCUGGAGACAGAAGAGCAGACGUCCAAAUUUAGUGCCCUAAACAGAACAACCCAGUGGCACAGAAGCUCUGAUGCAGUUCCACAGAUAUCGCCGGUCCGUUCACAGCCAAAGGAUCACUGAGGCAGAUCACAGCAGUGCGUUCACAUCGCGCUUCUGAAGCUCACCUGCUUGGCGUGGUCUCCCAUCACAUGAGGCCAACGCGAGGCUUUCAGCCCUCACCCAUCCUGGCUGCAGCCCAACCCGAGUGCCCGGGAAGGGGCAGCACCCUCUGCUUUGCUUUUCCUCUCGUCAGAUGCUGCCACGAUGGACGCGGUGCUGAGGGCCUGUGGGCAGGCACUGCAGUGCUGCCCGCUCCUGGAGUCACACUGCAAACCUCGCUUCCUUCCUUAAUGGUUUUGAAAGGGGUUAAGCCUUUACGGGGCAGACGAGAACAACCUGCAUUGCGUAGCAGGAGGGCUCUAUCAGCACCGGCGGUGCUAAUAGCCAAAGUGGCCCUCAGGUCCCUGGCUGGAUGCGUUUCUUCUAGCUUACAAGACGACUCAGUGUAAGUAAAACAAACAAACAAACGCUGGGACGAUAACCAAAGGCUUCAUUAGAGCUUCUGGCAGAUGCCGUGCAAAGCCCCCCGCUGAGAUACAGCCCAUCCUGGCAAAGGCAGCUGUCUGCCUGCCCAGACAAACCGCAUCCCAGGGCAGCC
ensembl:lncRNA